CUACGUGGGAGUCCAGUGACAUAGCCAUUACGCCAACUGCUGGUUCCCCUGGCAUGUCUUUUCAAGCUAAUGUGACCUAGAUAGGAACCAAAAUUAGUCAUGUGGAAUCUAGCACACAGUGCCUAACCCAUGUGUUCCAGGUCAGCCCUGUCAGUCAUUUUUAACUGUUACCUUUUUCUUUAAGUAGUCAUGUGUUCUUUGGUGAUUUGUUAAAUUACUUAAAUUAUCAAGAUGAAUCUCAAGAAUUAUGAAUAAAACAUUCAUACACAUUUGACAAUGUAAAUUUUAAAUAGCAAUAAGAAUUCUAAAAAUAAUUUUCAGGAAUUUGUGUAUGGUACUCAUUAAAAAUUUCACUUUAUAAGACAGGUGGGUGGUACAGAGGUAAUGCAAUUGGACCCACACGGGAAAGGUUCUGGGUUCCCAUCCCAGGACCUCCCUGAGUAUGUGGUGCAUAUGCACAAGUGCCUGUGAUUUGGACUGGCAAGACGGGUUGGAUCAUAGUGUGAAGAUCCUGUUGAGAGUGUCUGUCUCUCCCCCCAUCUCUCUGUCUCAUGGAAUAAAUCAUUGUUUUUUAUUCUAGUACAUUAUGAUGUCACAUAAGAUAAAGCUUUGAAACAUUACAACUGCAGCAUAAAGCAGACGACGACAGUACCAGCUACCAUGGUAACAGGCAAUGUUAGCUGCUCACUUGUGCCAGGUGUGGGUGUAAGCAUUCGUCAUAAGGAAAGUCAUGAUGUAUUUUUGCACAGAAAAACAAAGAUAUGUCAUGACUUUCCUGACGACCUAUACAUGCAUGCAUUACCUCAUUUAACUCUCCAGCAUUAUGAGACAGGCACCACAUUUACUUCCAGUUGCCUUCCUCCAUUAGAAAGUAAACCUCAUGAAGAAAUGUCUGAAGAGUAAGGGUAUCCAUGGAACGACAGCUGUGGGACGAAUUAUGAAG